CCUACUUUGUUCCGCCGUGGGGAAUAUUGGUCAAUGGGCGCAAGCCUGACCCAGCAACGCCGCGUGAAGGAAGAAGGCUCUCGGGAUGUUAAACUCUUUUGACAAGGGAGAGAAGAAGACGGUACCUGUCGAAUAAGCCACGGCUAACUACGUGCCAGCAGCCACGGCAAUACGUAGGUGGCAAGCGUUGUCCGGAUUUACUGGGUGUAAAGGGCGUGUAGCCGGGUUGACAAGUCAGAUGUGACAUCCUGCGGCGUAACCGCAGAACUGCAUUUGAAACUGUUGAUCUUGAGUACUGGAGAGGCAGACGGAAUUCCUAGUGUAGCGGUGAAAUGCGUAGAUAUUAGGAGGAACACCAGUGGCGAAGGCGGUCUGCUGGACAGCAACUGACGGUGAGGCGCGAAAGCGUGGGGAGCAAACAGGAUUAGAUACCCGGGUAGUC
rnacentral:rRNA from 1 species